AGAGUUUGAUCAUGGCUCAGAUUGAACGCUGGCGGCAGGCUUAACACAUGCAAGUCGAGCGGGGAUAGGGUGCUUGCACCUGAUUCCUAGCGGCGGACGGGUGAGUAAUGCUUAGGAAUCUGCCUAUUAGUGGGGGACAACGUUCCGAAAGGGACGCUAAUACCGCAUACGUCCUACGGGAGAAAGCAGGGGAUCUUCGGACCUUGCGCUAAUAGAUGAGCCUAAGUCGGAUUAGCUAGUUGGUGGGGUAAAGGCCUACCAAGGCGACGAUCUGUAGCGGGUCUGAGAGGAUGAUCCGCCACACUGGGACUGAGACACGGCCCAGACUCCUACGGGAGGCAGCAGUGGGGAAUAUUGGACAAUGGGGGGAACCCUGAUCCAGCCAUGCCGCGUGUGUGAAGAAGGCCUUUUGGUUGUAAAGCACUUUAAGCGAGGAGGAGGCUUACCUGGUUAAUACCUGGGAUAAGUGGACGUUACUCGCAGAAUAAGCACCGGCUAACUCUGUGCCAGCAGCCGCGGUAAUACAGAGGGUGCAAGCGUUAAUCGGAUUUACUGGGCGUAAAGCGCGCGUAGGUGGCUAAUUAAGUCAAAUGUGAAAUCCCCGAGCUUAACUUGGGAAUUGCAUUCGAUACUGGUUAGCUAGAGUAUGGGAGAGGAUGGUAGAAUUCCAGGUGUAGCGGUGAAAUGCGUAGAGAUCUGGAGGAAUACCGAUGGCGAAGGCAGCCAUCUGGCCUAAUACUGACACUGAGGUGCGAAAGCAUGGGGAGCAAACAGGAUUAGAUACCCUGGUAGUCCAUGCCGUAAACGAUGUCUACUAGCCGUUGGGGCCCUUGAGGCUUUAGUGGCGCAGCUAACGCGAUAAGUAGACCGCCUGGGGAGUACGGUCGCAAGACUAAAACUCAAAUGAAUUGACGGGGGCCCGCACAAGCGGUGGAGCAUGUGGUUUAAUUCGAUGCAACGCGAAGAACCUUACCUGGCCUUGACAUACAGAGAACUUUCCAGAGAUGGAUUGGUGCCUUCGGGAACUCUGAUACAGGUGCUGCAUGGCUGUCGUCAGCUCGUGUCGUGAGAUGUUGGGUUAAGUCCCGCAACGAGCGCAACCCUUUUCCUUAUUUGCCAGCACUU
rnacentral:rRNA from 1 species